rnacentral:rRNA from 1 species
UACGUAGGGGGCAAGCGUUGUCCGGAUUUAUUGGGCGUAAAGCGCACGUAGGCGGCUCAACAAGUCGGAUGUGAAAUCCCUCGGCUCAACCAAGGAAGUGCACCCGAAACUGUCGAGCUUGAAUAUGGAAGAGGGUCGCGGAAUUCCCGGUGUAGAGGUGAAAUUCGUAGAUAUCGGGAGGAACACCAGUGGCGAAGGCGGCGACCUGGGCCAAUAUUGACGCUGAGGUGCGAAAGCGUGGGGAGCAAACAGG